rnacentral:snRNA from 1 species
GUGUUCACUUUGGCAGCACAUACACUAAAAUUGGACCAAUACAAGAAGAUUAGUAUGGCCCCUGCGCAAGAAUGACAUGCAAAUUCAUGAAGCAUAUAAAAAAAAG